rnacentral:lncRNA from 1 species
CCUGGGACUUGCCAGGCUGCCAGUAUCAUAUGCUAUUGUGAUGACGGUGUUGACUGUUCACCUUCUUAUCUCUAAAUGUUUGGGGCUAAUUAUAUUCAAAGAGCAAAUCAGUGUUAAGAACAAAUGCCCAGCCAUGUGUGUGUACAUGCCUGUGAUUGCACAAGUUGGGCGGCUGAGGCAGGAGGAUUGUGAGUUCAAGACCAGCCUAGAUAUUGUCACUUCCCAAAGCCCGGGCUAUGGACAGAUUUGAGAGAACAUUCUAGGUCUAAACCAUCACACCUCACUUGUCCCCUCCAGGCCUCCGUUUCUUCCCUAUACUAUGAGAUGCAGGACCAGAUGACCUCUGAGACCACCCCUGGCCUUAACCUUCUGCAUGUCUGUGAUUGGGCCUCAGCGUUCAUCUUCCUCCUGGAUCUUUGAUUCAAUCGGGAUGAGUCAGGCACUGACAGCCGCCUUGGGCCCUGAGCGCCUGCUCAGAGAGGCAGUGCCAGGGCCCAGAAGAUCAGCUCAGAUCCUUGCUCGGUCACAUGCGUGGGUGUCAGCACUUCCUGCCUGGACUUUUCCCUGUGACUCAUGCUUCUCUUGUGCUCGGGAUCCGUGUUCCUCAGCCUUGUUCAUCUGGAAAGGAAGGAGCACGUGCCAAAAUAAUGAUGAGGAGUAG